rnacentral:rRNA from 1 species
CGGCACGGGUGAGUAACACGUAUCCAACCUGCCGUCUACUCUUGGACAGCCUUCUGAAAGGAAGAUUAAUACAAGAUGGCAUCAUGAGUCCGCAUGUUCACAUGAUUAAAGGUAUUCCGGUAGACGAUGGGGAUGCGUUCCAUUGGAUAGUAGGCGGGGUAACGGCCCACCUAGUCUUCGAUGGAUAGGGGUUCUGAGAGGAAGGUCCCCCACAUUGGAACUGAGACACGGUCCAA